rnacentral:tRNA from 1 species
GUUCUUGUAGCUUACAUAAAGCAUGGCACUGAAGAUGCCAAGACGGAUGCUAAACACACCCAAGAACA